rnacentral:rRNA from 1 species
CCUACGGGUGGCAGCAGUGGGGAAUAUUGCACAAUGGGCGAAAGCCUGAUGCAGCAACGCCGCGUGAAGGAAGACGGUUUUCGGAUUGUAAACUUCUGUUCUCAGUGAAGAAUAAUGACGGUAACUUAGGCGCAAGCCACGGCUAACUACGCGCCAGCAGCCGCGGUAAUACGUAGGUGGCAAGCGUUGUCCGGAAUUACUGGGCGUAAAGGGAGCGUAGGCGGGAAGCAAAGUCAGCUGUGAAAACUACGGGCUUAACCUGUGGACUGCAGUUGAGACUGGCUUUCUUGAGUGAAGUAGAGGUUGGCGGAAUUCCGGGUGUAGCGGUGAAAUGCGUAGAUAUCCGGAGGAACACCGGUGGCGAAGGCGGCCGACUGGGCUAUAACUGACGCUGAGGCGCGAAAGUGUGGGGAGCAAACAGGAUUAGAUACCCUUGUAGUC